rnacentral:rRNA from 1 species
GGGUGGUAAUGCCGGAUGCUCCGACUCCUCGCAUGGGGUGUCGGGAAAGAUUAUAUCGGUAUGGGAUGGGGUCGCGUCCUAUCAGGUAGUCGGCGGGGUAACGGCCCACCGAGCCUACGACGGGUAGCCGGCCUGAGAGGGCGACCGGCCACAUUGGGACUGAGAUACGGCCCAGACUCCUACGGGAGGCAGCAGUGGGGAAUAUUGCACAAUGGGCGCAAGCCUGAUGCAGCGACGCCGCGUGCGGGAUGACGGCCUUCGGGUUGUAAACCGCUUUUGAUCGGGAGCAAGCCUUCGGGUGAGUGUACCUUUCGAAUAAGCACCGGCUAACUACGUGCCAGCAGCCGCGGUAAUACGUAGGGUGCAAGCGUUAUCCGGAAUUAUUGGGCGUAAAGGGCUCGUAGGCGGUUCGUCGCGUCCGGUGUGAAAGUCCAUCGCUUAACGGUGGAUCUGCGCCGGGUACGGGCGGGCUGGAGUGCGGUAGGGGAGACUGGAAUUCCCGGUGUAACGGUGGAAUGUGUAGAUAUCGGAAAAGAACACCA